rnacentral:rRNA from 1 species
AGAGUUUGAUCAUGGCUCAGAAUGAACGCUGGCGGCGUGCUUAACACAUGCAAGUCGCACGAGAACUCUUUAGCUUGCUAAAGAUAGUAAAGUGGCGCACGGGUGAGUAACGCGUGGGUAAUCUACCUCUGAAUCGGGGAUAACACCGCGAAAGCGAUGCUAAUACCGGAUAAUAUCUUUUAAGCUUCGGCUUACCAGAUCAAAGGUGGCCUCUACAUGAAAGCUACUGUUUGGAGAUGGGCCCGCGUACCAUUAGCUUGUUGGUGGGGUAAUGGCCCACCAAGGCAUCGAUGGUUAGCUGGUCUGAGAGGAUGAUCAGCCACACUGGAACUGACACACGGUCCAGACUCCUACGGGAGGCAGCAGUGAGGAAUUUUGCGCAAUGGGGGAAACCCUGACGCAGCAACGCCGCGUGAGUGAUGAAGGCCCUCGGGUCGUAAAACUCUGUCAAGUGGGAAGAACCUGCUUUAUGUUAAUACCAUAUUGCACUGACGGUACCACUGAAGGAAGCACCGGCUAACUCCGUGCCAGCAGCCGCGGUAAUACGGAGGGUGCAAGCGUUAUUCGGAAUUAUUGGGCGUAAAGAGCGCGUAGGCGGUCUUUUAAGUCAGAUGUGAAAGCCCGAGGCUUAACCUCGGAAGUGCAUUUGAAACUAAGGGACUUGAGUAUGGGAGAGGGAAGUGGAAUUCCUGGUGUAGAGGUGAAAUUCGUAGAUAUCAGGAGGAACACCGGUGGCGAAGGCGACUUCCUGGACCAAUACUGACGCUGAGGCGCGAAGGCGUGGGGAGCAAACAGGAUUAGAUACCCUGGUAGUCCACGCAGUAAACGGUGAACACUAGGUAUAGCGGGUAUUGACCCCUGCUGUGCCGUAGUUAACGCAUUAAGUGUUCCCGCCUGGGGAGUAC